AUCCAACUGACAAGUCCCAAUGGAUAGGACGAAACGCGCGUCAAACUGGAU
rnacentral:hammerhead_ribozyme from 1 species